AGAGUUUGAUCAUGGCUCAGAUUGAACGCUGGCGGCAGGCCUAACACAUGCAAGUCGAACGGUAACAGGAAGCAGCUUGCUGCUUCGCUGACGAGUGGCGGACGGGUGAGUAAUGUCUGGGAAACUGCCUGAUGGAGGGGAUAACUACUGGAAACGGUAGCUAAUACCGCAUAAUGUCGCAAGACCAAAGAGGGGGACCUUCGGGCCUCUUGCCAUCGGAUGUGCCCAGAUGGGAUUAGCUUGUUGGUGGGGUAACGGCUCACCAAGGCGACGAUCCCUAGCUGGUCUGAGAGGAUGACCAGCCACACUGGAACUGAGACACGGUCCAGACUCCUACGGGAGGCAGCAGUGGGGAAUAUUGCACAAUGGGCGCAAGCCUGAUGCAGCCAUGCCGCGUGUAUGAAGAAGGCCUUCGGGUUGUAAAGUACUUUCAGCGGGGAGGAAGGGAGUAAAGUUAAUACCUUUGCUCAUUGACGUUACCCGCAGAAGAAGCACCGGCUAACUCCGUGCCAGCAGCCGCGGUAAUACGGAGGGUGCAAGCGUUAAUCGGAAUUACUGGGCGUAAAGCGCACGCAGGCGGUUUGUUAAGUCAGAUGUGAAAUCCCGGGCUCAACCUGGGAACUGCAUCUGAUACUGGCAAGCUUGAGUCUCGUAGAGGGGGUAGAAUUCCAGGUGUAGCGGUGAAAUGCGUAGAGAUCUGGAGGAAUACCGGUGGCGAAGGCGGCCCCCUGGACGAAGACUGACGCUCAGGUGCGAAAGCGUGGGGAGCAAACAGGAUUAGAUACCCUGGUAGUCCACGCCGUAAACGAUGUCGACUUGGAGGUUGUGCCCUUGAGGCGUGGCUUCCGGAGCUAACGCGUUAAGUCGACCGCCUGGGGAGUACGGCCGCAAGGUUAAAACUCAAAUGAAUUGACGGGGCCCGCACAAGCGGUGGAGCAUGUGGUUUAAUUCGAUGCAACGCGAAGAACCUUACCUGGUCUUGACAUCCACGGAAGUUUUCAGAGAUGAGAAUGUGCCUUCGGGAACCGUGAGACAGGUGCUGCAUGGCUGUCGUCAGCUCGUGUUGUGAAAUGUUGGGUUAAGUCCCGCAACGAGCGCAACCCUUAUCCUUUGUUGCCAGCGGUCCGGCCGGGAACUCAAAGGAGACUGCCAGUGAUAAACUGGAGGAAGGUGGGGAUGACGUCAAGUCAUCAUGGCCCUUACGACCAGGGCUACACACGUGCUACAAUGGCGCAUACAAAGAGAAGCGACCUCGCGAGAGCAAGCGGACCUCAUAAAGUGCGUCGUAGUCCGGAUUGGAGUCUGCAACUCGACUCCAUGAAGUCGGAAUCGCUAGUAAUCGUGGAUCAGAAUGCCACGGUGAAUACGUUCCCGGGCCUUGUACACACCGCCCGUCACACCAUGGGAGUGGGUUGCAAAAGAAGUAGGUAGCUUAACCUUCGGGAGGGCGCUUACCACUUUGUGAUUCAUGACUGGGGUGAAGUCGUAACAAGGUAACCGUAGGGGAACCUGCGGUUG
rnacentral:rRNA from 1 species